GCGCUUGCUUCGGCAGCACAUAUACUAAACUUGGAACGAUACAGAGAAGAUUAGCAUGGCCCUUGCACAAGGAUGGCACACAAAUUUGUGGAGUGUUCCAUAAAUUU